AUUGAACGCUGGCGGCAGGCCUAACACAUGCAAGUCGAGCGGAUGAAGGGAGCUUGCUCCUGGAUUCAGCGGCGGACGGGUGAGUAAUGCCUAGGAAUCUGCCUGGUAGUGGGGGAUAACGUCCGGAAACGGGCGCUAAUACCGCAUACGUCCUGAGGGAGAAAGUGGGGGAUCUUCGGACCUCACGCUAUCAGAUGAGCCUAGGUCGGAUUAGCUAGUUGGUGGGGUAAAGGCCUACCAAGGCGACGAUCCGUAACUGGUCUGAGAGGAUGAUCAGUCACACUGGAACUGAGACACGGUCCAGACUCCUACGGGAGGCAGCAGUGGGGAAUAGUGGACAAUGGGCGAAAGCCGGAUCCAGCCAUGCCGCGUGUGAAGAAGGUCUUCGGAUUGUAAAGCACUUUAAGUUGGGAGGAAGGGCAGUAAGUUAAUACCUUGCUGUUUUGACGUUACCAACAGAAUAAGCACCGGCUAACUUCGUG
rnacentral:rRNA from 1 species